rnacentral:rRNA from 1 species
GAGACAGCAGUCGCCGCGGGAAAACCAGCACCUCGAGUGGUCAGGAGGUUUAUUGGGCCUAAAGCAUCCGUAGCCGGUUGCAUAAGUUUUCGGUUAAAUCUAUGCGCUUAACGUAUAGGCCGCCGAAAAUACUGUGCAGCUAGGGAGUGGGAGAGGUACACGGUACUCGAUAGGAAGGGGUAAAAUCCUUUGAUCUAUUGAUGACCACCUGUGGCGAAGGCGGUGUACCAGAACACGUUCGACGGUGAGGGAUGAAAGCUGGGGGAGCAAACCGGAUUAGAUACCCGUGUAGUCCCUGUCUCUUAUAC